AUUGAACGCUGGCGGCAGGCCUAACACAUGCAAGUCGAACGAGUGGCGGACGGGUGAGUAAUGUCUGGGAAACUGCCUGAUGGAGGGGGAUAACUACUGGAAACGGUAGCUAAUACCGCAUACCAUCGGAUGUGCCUAGAUGGGAUUAGCUAGUUGGUGGGGUAAAGGCUCACCUAGGCGACGAUCCCUAGCUGGUCUGAGAGGAUGACGAGCCACACUGGAACUGAGACACGGUCCAGACUCCUCCGGGAGGCACCAGUGGGGAAUAGGGCACAAUGGGCGCAAGCCUGAUGCAGCCAUCCCGCGUGUAUGAAGAAGGCCUUCGGGUUGUAAAGUCCUUUCAGCGGGGAGGCGUUACCCGCAGAGGAAGCACCGGCUAACUCCGUGCCAGCAGCCGCGGUAAUUC
rnacentral:rRNA from 1 species